rnacentral:rRNA from 1 species
UACGUAGGGGGCGAGCGUUGUCCGGAUUUAUUGGGCGUAAAGCGUGCGUAGGCGGCUGCGCAAGUCGGGUGUGAAACCCCGGGGCUCAACCCCGGAACUGCAUCCGAUACUGCGUGGCUAGAGGUAGGUAGGGGAGAUCGGAAUUCCUGGUGUAGCGGUGAAAUGCGCAGAUAUCAGGAGGAACACCGGUGGCGAAGGCGGAUCUCUGGGCCUUACCUGACGCUCAGGCACGAAAGCGUGGGGAGCGAACAGG